AGUCUGUUUAGUAAGAGAGCACUUUUGUGAUGAAAGCGCGUUGUGGGUUAAACACAUUUGAUAUGAGUAAUCAAUGGGCAAGGAAUUCAUCGGAGUUCUAAGCGCCCAGAAUUGGGUCCCUUAUCAUCUUGCGAAGGUCACAUUAGUACUCACUGGUAUCAUCUUUGAUGAAUAAAGCAUAAAAUGUGAGUUGAUGGAAGUUAAUGACAAUCUUUUACUGUAGUUGAACCUGCAAAAUUUACCACAGAUGCUGCAUAGGAAGCACAGUUUGGUAGAUCUAAUACAAGCAUCAGUUUGUGGUAGAUCUAAUACAAGCAUGGUUCAGUCCCUUCUGCAUUCCAUAGUCAAGGGUGAGUCCCAUGCAUCAGUUUGUGGAUCGCGGUCUCACACACUAAUCCCUACAGAUUCCUGUAGGAGGACCAAAUCAUAUUGAUUUUAAUUUUCAUGCAGGUUCCUUCACCAUUUGAUAUGAACUUGGAAGUUGAUCUUCUUCUCAGGUUUAUAAAAGCCAGAAUGCUUAUUGUGGAAAACGAUUCCCAAGAGAGUUAUCAUGAUACUAAGUCAAAUAAUGAAGCUAAGUACAUGAUCUACAGAAGAACUUAAGACUGCAGGACCGUCAAAUGCUUAUGCUAAUUCAGUAGAAGAUACUUAAAAAUUGUAACCUUUAACUGGAGUGCAAAUGUUUCUGAAGAGACUGAAAAUACUUCGACAAUCAUUACGACAAGGAGGAUGGGGAGAUGUUUCGUUGUUUGUUUCAAGGUUACCGAAGAUACUACUAGACGAAAACAUUUGGAAGAUUUUUCUUUACUGAAAAGAGAAAUAGAGGCACGUUAAUGAAAAAUGGCGCUUUUACUAGCAUUUUCAGAUAUUAACUCUUUAUUAUCACAUUGCCACGUGUCAAAUGUUGUCAUAUGAUCAUUUCUAGUUGCCAAAAUAAAGUUAUGAACUAGGAUAAAUAGAUGCCUUGGAGACACGAGCACAGCUGCAAUAUAGAAGCUUUGUUCUAUCGUCACAGAGUUAUCCAUAUCAAAAUGAAAAAUGUCAGUUUUUUCAUCCCUGCCCCAUAUGCAUGGGUACUGCUUACUAGCUAUUCUGAUGAUAAUUUUUUUUCAGUUUGUCAUUGCAGAAUGACAAGAGUGGUUACAUCAUAUAGUCAGCACUUUAUGUCUUAGAGGUGACAACUAGAUCUUUGUUGCUGCGAAUGCAUCAACUUGCUUCAGCAAAUAAGAUUUAUAAAGGCAGAGACUUCUUUGUGAUGUAUCCUGAGCUAGAAUUGUGGCUUCAGUCUGAGAUUCAAGUUGCCAGGGCCAAGAGAAUAACAAUCUCAGAUGUUGAGUGUCAGCAGUGAUUCCCUGUAAGUUGACACAACAAACAGGAAGGUGGUCUCCUGCCUCCCCAAUUCUUUUCUUCUCGACAAGUGACUCCCCAACUCUGCAACUACAUGCGCUUUGGUUGCAUCUUUUUGAGACCGGCAUUGCACAUCUUUUUUUUAGUACCCUCAGUUGUGUGCUUGCUCUCCUCUUUUUUUCCUGCAGAGUUGCAAUUGUUUCAUCUAGUUCAGCCAUAGCAGUGUCUUCAGGUACUCCCAAUAUUCCAGCAACCUGUAUUUGGUACUAGCAAGUUUUCUGUUAAUUAUUACUUAUUGUGGAGGAUGAGUCUAUAUAUAUGAUGUUAAAAAGGAACAAGGCUAUUCACCACAGCAAAUGGCACUGGCAGCAUCUUGUAUCCAUUAGAUGGCUAAAAUCUGUUCAGUAAUUCUGGGAUGAAAAUGCACCAUGGGUAAAACGCAAUUGAUAUGAGUAAUCAAUGAGCAAGGGCAUUCAUUGCAGUCAUACGCACCCAGAUUCAGGUCCCUUAUCUUCUCGCAAAGGUCACAAUUUUACUCACUGGUAUCAUCUUUGAUGAACGAAGCAUAGAGUGUGAGUUGCUGGAAGCUAAUGGAAAUCUUUUACUGUAAUGGAAGGAAAUCUGUGACUAUUAAGAUUGCAAGGCACACCACUUUAAAAGUCAAACCUGAAAAUUUUACCACAGACACUGCAUAGGAAGCACGGUGCAGUAGAUCUAAAUUAAGAAAGAGUAUAUGGUCAUGGAGGUAAUGUUUCAAAGUGAAUCUAUCAAAAGUGCAUGGAAUCUUGAAGUUGCAGUAUCAUUCUGUGCAGUGAAAGACAGAGCGUCGACACUCUUCACAACAUAUGUCAACAGCGCUCCUUCCUGAUAUGAGAAGGAAAAAGGAUGUGCGGGUGAACAGGUUGUUGCAUAACUGAGGGCAAUUCAGCACAUGAUUUAUGGAGCAGGAAAGAUCAGCUCUGCUCCAGCCAGCGAUAGGCUAAACAUUUGAUGCAUUCAUAACAAGCCUUGCACGGACCAGCCUUCAUGUGACAGUUCCAGCAGCCGAGGGUGAUCAUGCAGUGCAGAAAGCAGAGGCAACCAAGACAACCAUUGACCUUUGCAUCCGAUUCUGUUUUAGAGCUUCAUGUAGAAGACCGGUGGAUUCUGAAGGUCGAAAUGGUAAAAAACCGAGUCGCUAGUGCCUCCAGAUCUUGCGAACAUAGAGUUAAAGCCAUGCGUGCAAUCCAUGUCAAGGCUGAAUUUGCAUUUGUCGCAGUCAGAAACCAUGGUAAGCAAAUAAGCAUUACAUUUAGCUCCUCCAUUUGAUCGAAAACAAGAGAGAGAGGGUCAUCUCUGGGGGAGACUCGGUGCAAGUUUUGUGGAGAAAGAAUAUGCACGCAUAGCAUCCAUAGACCUGCCCCAAGAUUGCUUGCUCGCAGGCUUUGCAUUUGAUUCUACAUUUCAUCUUGAGAUGAUGGAAUGUGAGGGGAUGCUCUUGAGCAUUUGUUGGAUGGCCACGUUCUGAGAAUCCUCAUUAGGAGGACAAGCAAUAUUGGGCUGUGCAGUAACAAUUGACUGAUCCGACUGGCAAGAGAAGGUUUUCAUGUAUAAAUGCUGUCGCGACCUAACCUCAGUGCAGUAACUGAUAUUCCAAGCAAGUACGACCUUCCACUCAGGUUCCAGAGAUUCAAUGCAUGAUCACCGAGGCAAAUUAAGAAACCCAAAGGCGUUGUGAAUGGAGUUAUAGUUGCUGAGUGAUAUCAACGCGAAGCAAAUGGGGUGAAAUGAGAUGUACCUCAACUCCCGCAUUAUCUGAUGUUGUAUUUCAGUGCUAAUUUGUAAUAUAUAUAUAAUUGAUGCUUUAAUGCAAUGGUUUA